rnacentral:rRNA from 1 species
CACGUAGGGGGCAAGCGUUGUCCGGAUUUAUUGGGCGUAAAGGGCUCGUAGGCGGCUUGGCAAGUCGGAUGUGAAAACUCGAGGCUCAACCUCGAGACGCCAUUCGAUACUGCUAUGGCUUGAGUCUGGUAGGGGAGCACGGAAUUCCUGGUGUAGCGGUGAAAUGCGCAGAUAUCAGGAGGAACACCGGUGGCGAAGGCGGUGCUCUGGGCCAGAACUGACGCUGAGGAGCGAAAGCGUGGGUAGCAAACAGGAUUAGAAACCCCCGUAGUCC